rnacentral:rRNA from 1 species
UUUUCGGCAAUGGGCGAAAGCCUGACCGAGUAACGCCGCGUGAAUGAAGAAGGCCUCCGGGUUGUAAAAUUCUGUUAUAAGGGAAGAAAGGGGAUAGGAGGAAAUGGCUAUCAAUUGACGGUACCUUAUGAGAAAGCCACGGCUAACUACGUGCCAGCAGCCGCGGUAAUACGUAGGUGGCGAGCGUUAUCCGGAAUUAUUGGGCGUAAAGAGCGCGCAGGUGGUUAAUUAAGUCUGAUGUGAAAGCCCACGGCUUAACCGUGGAGGGUCAUUGGAAACUGGUUGACUUGAGUGCAGAAGAGGGAAGUGGAAUUCCAUGUGUAGCGGUGAAAUGCGUAGAGAUAUGGAGGAACACCAGUGGCGAAGGCGGCUUCCUGGUCUGCAACUGACACUGAUGCUCGAAAGUGUGGGUAUCAAACAGG